UGUAAGCAUGACUCUUAAUGUGUGUUUGUGUGCGUCUACAAUUUUGUCAAUUAUUCAGGAAUUGUCGACUGAAUAGGCUGUGGGAUGAAAAUAAGGGUCGAUGAUCCUCUAUCGAUGAAAAACUUUAUUCUCAGUGUUCAGAAUAGAGUGACUGAGUUAAAGACAUCCUCGCAAGAGAGCCAAGAAAGUAUAAACAGUAAAAGGAUGGAGUUCAUGCUUGAAACAAUAUGUGACAUAAAAAAACAACAAGAAAAGAUCUAAAGACGAUCCACCACAUCACACAAGAUCAAGGGAUCCAGUUCGAAGAUUGGAAACAAUGACCCUUCUCCUACUUCCUUCCUUGAAUUCUCAAAGUCGCUCCAAUGGUGAAUCUCAUCAUUUGCCUUUAUUUCUUUGUUUGAAAGAUUUGUUUCGUCUAUUCUUCCGACAGGAAGGCAAGAGCUUAGUGGAAAUGAAGUUGACACGAUCAUAAGUUUCAAGAAUGCCUUGGGCAUUGAUGAUCCUGAGGCAGCUGCAACAAUGCAUAUGGAGAUUGGUCGAAGACUUUUUAGCCAAAGGCUUGAGACUGGUGAUCGGGAUGGAGACUUAGAGGAACGUCGGGUAGGUCUUUCAGCUGUUUCACUUAUUGAGUUUUAUGGGUUAUUCUAUGGGAUAACAGAUAAUACUGGAUAAAGAUACAGAGCUUGAGCAUUAUUAGUGAUUCUCCAGUGCAGGUAUUUCAGAAGCUGAUUUAUGUUUCGACUCUUGUUUUUGGAGAUGCAUCGUCUUUCCUUUUACCUUGGAAACGAGUAUUUAAAGUCAUUGAUUCCCAGGUUGAGAUUGUUAUUCGUGAUAAUGCUCAGCGGCUAUAUGCCACUAAACUGAAAUCAAUCAGCACAGAUAUCAGUGUAGAGCAGCUAUUUAGCCUCAGGGAAGCACAACUCUUGUAUAGGCUUUCUGAUGAGCAUGUUGCGGACUUGUUCAGGGAGCAUACAAGGAAACUGAUUGAGAAACACAUCUCUUCUGCUCUUACUUUACUGAAGUCUAAAACAAGAGCCACCUAUACUCUCUACUUCACACAUAAUUGCCUUUACAUUAAUGUUUGUAUCAUCAAACAUGAUCAAUGAUUUGCUAAAAGCAUUAUAAUAUGAUAUUUUUUAGAGUACUUA